rnacentral:rRNA from 1 species
CCUACGGGUGGCAGCAGUGGGGAAUAUUGCACAAUGGGGGAAACCCUGAUGCAGCGACGCCGCGUGAGUGAAGAAGUAUUUCGGUACGUAAAGCUCUAUCAGCAGGGAAGAAAAUGACGGUACCUGACUAAGAAGCCCCGGCUAACUACGUGCCAGCAGCCGCGGUAAUACGUAGGGGGCAAGCGUUAUCCGGAUUUACUGGGUGUAAAGGGAGCGUAGACGGCAGCGCAAGGCUGGAGUGAAAUCCCAUGGCUUAACCAUGGAACUGCUUUGGAAACUGUGCAGCUAGAGUGCAGGAGAGGUAAGCGGAAUUCCUGGUGUAGCGGUGAAAUGCGUAGAUAUUAGGAGGAACACCAGUGGCGAAGGCGGCUUACUGGACUGUAACUGACGUUGAGGCUCGAAGGCGUGGGGAGCAAACAGGAUUAGAUACCCCGGUAGUC